UAAAAGCGGUUGAUAAAAGUCGACCUCGUAAGGACAAUUGAAUGGCCGCGGUAACACUGACCGUGAUAAUGUAGCGUAAUCAAUAGCCAAUUAAUUGUUGGCCAGUAUGAAUGGCGCCACGAAGGCCCCACUGUCUUAAGGAAAUUCCCAGUGAAAUUGAAUUCGUAGUGAAGAUGCUACGUCCAAUUUGUUAGACGAAAAGACCCCGUUGAGCUUUACUGGGGCACUUACACGGCCCCGGCCUUCCAAACUAGGCUUACUAUGCCUAGAGGUCGGCCGAAUUUAAAUGGGUGGUUUAGAUUAUGUGGCAGCCCCCCGUCGGGGCAGAUGAAACCCCACUCCCCCAUGUCAAAGGGGCUAACCCCCCCCCUUGGGGGGGGACAGUGUAAGUAGGACAGUUUGGUUGGGGCGACCGCCUUUUAAAGAGUAACGAAGGUGCGCUUAAGGUGCGCAAAUAAUGACUGAAGCCUGACUGCGAGGGGGACACCCCGAGCAGACACCCCCAAGCCUGCCCUAAGGGCGGCGGUGGGGUGGGCCAUAGUGACCCGUUAAUUUAGAGUGGAAUAGUUAACGAUCAACGAAUAAAAGUUACCACGGGGAUAACAGCGUAAUAUCGUUAGAGAGUUCACAUCGACGACGAUGUUUGCGA
rnacentral:rRNA from 1 species